AUUGAACGCUGGCGGCAUGCCUUACACAUGCAAGUCGAACGGCAGCACGGGUGCUUGCACCUGGUGGCGAGUGGCGAACGGGUGAGUAAUACAUCGGAACAUGUCCUGUAGUGGGGGAUAGCCCGGCGAAAGCCGGAUUAAUACCGCAUACGAUCUACGGAUGAAAGCGGGGGACCUUCUGGCCUCGCGCUAUAGGGUUGGCCGAUGGCUGAUUAGCUAGUUGGUGGGGUAAAGGCCUACCAAGGCGACGAUCAGUAGCUGGUCUGAGAGGACGACCAGCCACACUGGGACUGAGACACGGCCCAGACUCCUACGGGAGGCAGCAGUGGGGAAUUUUGGACAAAGGGCGAAAGCCUGAUCCAGCAAUGCCGCGUGUGUGAAGAAGGCCUUCGGGUUGUAAAGCACUUUUGUCCGGAAAGAAAUCCUUGGCCCUAAUACGGUCGGGGGAUGACGGUACCGGAAGAAUAAGCACCGGCUAACUACGUG
rnacentral:rRNA from 1 species